AAAAAAAAAAAAAAAGGAAAGUGGCGACAACAACAGCGCGGGCGGACGGAGCGCUCCGCGGGGACUGACAGCGCGGGGGCACCGCUCGGACGUUCGGCGUUCCCACGGCGCGCGUGUCCGCGCCGGAGAGUGGGGGAACCCCGUGGGGAGAGCGGUGGUGAACCCCAACGGAACGAGGUUGGGUGGGGGGCGGGGGGUUACUUGUAGCGUCCGCAAAGGUCUUCUGUUUUAUGUUUCUUAAAAUCUAUAGCGAAGCCCCAACACAGAUUCCAUUGACUCAAUGGGAGAUCUCCAGGUGCAGCCGCUCGAGCGGUCCGUGCCAGAGCCCCGUGUUUUCCUUUCCAGCCGAUUUUGCUUGGAUCGGGCUCAAAAAGCCGAGCGAGUCUCGUGGUUUUGUUUACACUGAAUGGGGAGGAUAGGAGCGGUGCCAUGGGGCCGUCUUUCAUUAAUAUACAGUGAGGAUUUUGUCUAAAUUACCGCUAUGAAUUUCACAGUGCGCGCUUUCAAAAGCCGUCUCAGGUGGCCCGAUGGAACGUGAUAGCGCCUCUGCAAACAGAUCCACGUCUGAAUAUAGACGGAGGGGGGGGAGAACCCCCCCCAAAUAAUAAUAAUAAUAACAAUAAUAAUAAAAAUAUAUGCCCCCCCCCCCCCAUCUCCCUCCCGAGAGCGGCAGCAAAAUAAGGCUGCGGCGGGAGCAGCGCCUUUUAUUGAAGAGGCAAAAAAAAAAACCCCCAACUUAGUUCCCCAACUCUUCCCGCCCCCUCCCUCGCGGAGUGUGAUUGUUUUGUCUGGAAAAAAACCCAAAGUAUAACAAGGGGAGAACAGUUAGUGCUGAUUUCCAUUUGCAUAAAUUUUCAUAUAUUUUGGUGAAAAUAAUAGACGGGCGGAGAGCGGGGCUCGGCGGAGUCAGUGCGAGGGAAAUGCGGAGCGGGGAGAGCCGCGCCGGAGCCGAGAAGGCGCGCUGUGCCCCCGUCACCCCAUUAAAACCCCAAAUGAACGCCCAACCGCAUCUCCUCGGUGCUGGGAGUGCGCUCGGCCCACUCUGUUCUCCAGCCUCGUUACAUGGGUUUCUGUCUCUCCUCAGCAUCCCCUUGAAUGGCAUCUACUGCACGUGAGCAUCCUCCACAGUCUCUAAGAUACUUUUGUUGUUUUUCUUUUUAAGCAUUUGUUUUUUUAAGAUGACAUUGAUAGACAUGAGGCCUAAGUCUGGAGAUGUUCUGUGGGUAGAGCUCACAUUUAUUUCAGUAUGUGGAGCAGCUUUAGGAUCUGAUCCAUGUUGAAGACAAGCACUGCGUAAUGAGGCCCGGGCAUAUAAAACAAUAUGUAUUCUAACACAGCUCGCUCAAAACAAAUAUGUUCCCUUCUCUUCAGCUGGUGUAAACAAACAAUCUCCAUUGUGCUUGGCGGGCCUCUGCUGUGCUGCCGUGUGUGAGACCAGAGCUUUGCUUCCCAGGAAUUAGGAACACAGCCUCUGACUCUGCAUCAGCAGUCCCUUGAUUAGGGCGCUGGUCCUAAAAGCCAUACUCAAGUUUGGCGCUGUCGUUAAGUGCUUUAUAGGCAGACCUUUCCAUGCUACCAGUGUGUUUACACGUGGUCUCACCUCUGAGGCCUGGGCUCGUCAGCCAAACCCAACUGGCCCUGAGUUCCAGAAUGGUUUGACUCUGUGAAAGAGCAGAGAAUUAGUGCAGUAGUUGUAGCAAUAUACUGACCUGCAAAAUCUAUCCUAUAGAUAUCUAAAUCUUCUUUUGAUGUACAUCGGCAACUAUAUGAAAAAUUACUGAUGACUUGAGGUGGGAACAUUAGCAGGGCCUACUUCAAAAGUCCCGUGUGAUAUCCAUGGACUAACGUGGAUUUGAACCCAGGUGCCGUUCUUCAGGUGUACUUUGCUUUUGUGCCGUUCAUCAGAACCGUCGCACCGCUCUAUAACUUGUGUGGAAGCAGAGUGAGCUGUUCUGGCGCUGAAACGAUUUCAUUGUUAGGCUAAGUGUUACACAGAUGGCAUUCUUAAAUGUAAAAUUCUUUUUAUGAUUCUUUCAAUUUCAUAUUUAUUUCAUUAGAUCAUUAUUUAUGUUAAAGAGACACCAUUAAUAUGAAACGUGCUCAGCUUAAAAGAGAAUGUUGAGAGGAGUCUCAGGUAUCUGAUCCUCAAUCCUUUAGUUUUUCUGUUUCACAUUUUCCUGUUUAAAAUGUUUUUUGUGUCUCUAGGUGCUAUGUGACAGAUCCAAACAAACAACAGAGGGGAAAGAGCCUCGCUUAACUGAUUAGAGGAGAGAAGCAGUGAAAGGGAAUAUGCACAAAGCGCUGCCAAGUUCACAGAGCAAAGGAUAAGACAAAAAAUAGAAUCAUUUCACUAUUUUUUUUUCUUUAUUUAGAGCGAUGUGAGGUAUUGCUUAUAAUAACAGCAGGGAAAUAAUUUUCAGACAAAAAUGUGACUUCUUAAUCAAGGGUCUCUAAUUCAAAAUAUAUUUAUUUAAUAAACAGUAAUUAUGAUAGCUGCAACUACUCAUUCAUAUCAAUAAUUCAUUCAGAAGUAAACCAUAUCAACAUAUUAGCAUUUAUUUUUCCUUUUAAUCGGCUGUGAUUUAAAAUAAAUGUAAAUCGUCAUAAUCAUUCAGCUCCAUAUGCUGGGAGAGGAAAAGUCACCUUAAACCAGAUGCAUAUUUUGAGAAAAAGAGAAGACGAGUUGUUCUAAGGAAACAACGUAUGGGGGCAGAUCUUAAGCUGGGGUAAAGAUGGGCUGCCCUCUGGAAGUCAACUUAGCUCUGAUGAUUGACACCAGCCAAAACCAGUCAGCAGUUUUAAGACCUGGAGUUUUUAGGGAGUUUUCUGUGGAUCCAUGUAUUGAUUUCCUUCUGUAAGUAAAGAGAUAAGUACAGUUUCUUCCAGUUUUAAUCAGGAAAAGGCAGUAUACACGAUUAACAAAAUUCCAACUUGAAGAUUUUUAUGUGUGGAAACAAUAGGCUGCUUUGCCUGAGUUGUAGGCCUGUGCUGCUUGUGUGAGUGUGUAUAUGUGUGGAGCUGCAUGUAUUAUUUCCCAUCCCCGUUUAGUUAGCCAAACCCUCUCCCAACUUUUACCUUUAACAACCCACCUCAUUUUGACAUCUCUUUUUAAUCUCCUGAACCCAUUAGCUCUUGUUGAAAUUACUUCUUUAUGCCCCUGGUUCAAGAUCCAGACAGCACUGUUUUGAUGCUGUGGAGCAUGACUCCAAGUGUUAGAAAACUGGUUUUUUUGCUUCAGACACAGGGAAGAAGUGAUCAAGGGCUAGGGUCCCAGCCAGUAUGUGCUACUGCUGUUAGACACUCAGUGCAUAUCUUACAGCAACAGCUCUUUCCCUUUUGCUUUCAGUAGGCGAAGCCAGGGAUCAUGCCUGGGAGAUUAAUGUGAUGAGGAUGAGCCUGCGAAGCCUUUGGUCCUCCUUGUGUGAGCCUGCUCUGCUUGCUCAUACACAGCACACCUUUGGGAACUCACUGCAUAAGGCCCUCUUGUACUGCCAUGAGCUAAGGGGAGCCAUUUUCCUGCUCCACGCAGGCUGCCCUGUGUUCUUGCUGGGGGAACAAGGCCACAACACCCUUCACCCUGAGUUCAACAGCAGUGCUUUCCAGGGGGUGCCUUGGGGCAGGAUGGCAUGAGUAGCUGGAAAGCCACAGCAGAGCCUAGCCCUGCGAAAAGGCAUUUUCACAGCCUCCCAGGUGAGUUUUGUUGUCCACACGACCGUGGCACACAGCUGGCUGUUCUCCUGCUUUCUUUCAAGGCUGGGCUCUCCGUGCUGCUGCCCUGCACUGGGCAUGCAGCCACCGGGCAGCCGAGCUAAAGUGAUACCUGACUUUUGUUCUUUUCCAGUCUCUGCAGUGCUAUACAUUUUUACAUUCCUCCAACAGUUUCUAAGGAGAAAAGUGAGUCACGUUGCUUAGUUUUCCCCAUCCUCAUAGAGAGGAGACAUGUUUCUUUUUUUCCCCCCACAAGUUAUUGUAUUGUUCCUCUUUAUGGUGUGGCUCUGAUUUAGUGCUGGAUGAAGCUCAAAAGGAGGAUUAGUGUAAAUCUAUUCCCAUAUGCUUGGAUGCAUUUCUGCACCCUGUCUGUACCAUCCUCACUGCUUUUGAUGGAAAAAGCUGGGCUAUAAACCUGAUGAGAACAGGCUUCCAUGCAAGAUGUUUAGUAUUUCCUGCUUCCACUUGGGCCAGUGAUACGGCACAUCCAGCCCCUUUCGGCCCUUCAUCUCUCAGUCAUGGUCUUGUCAGAAAUUCAGAAAAUCACUAUGGCAGAAAAUGAAUAGGGGAAUAAAAGGAAUCUGAUUUUUCUCCACUUUAAUAAUGGCUAGAUUUGGGUUUAGCUCCACCUUUGGCUGAAAUUUUGCUGGAGGAUGGGCACAGGUAGAAUGUUUUUAUUUGAACGGAAUUGGUUCAUCCAUCUUUUAGAUGAUGGCACUGAAGUGUGAGCCCAUUUUUAUGGUCCUCAGAGAGAAUCUGUGCUUCUUUUUAAGAGAUGCACCUUCUGGGAAAGGUAGGGCUGGCUAUAAAAGCCCUGAUUGUAUUGUAUUCAAGCAAACCGGGAGCGCAGGAGGGGAGGAACAGAGACAGCGAUAGAAGGAAGGAGAGAUUUUCCAAGUGUAUGAGAUGUGUUAUGCUUUGGUAUCACAGGCUUUGCUAUGCCUAAUGCUUGGGCAUUUUCUGGGUGGUAAUUGAAUUGCUUAAUAGCCAAACACCAGGCUGCACUGAACUCAAUCCUAAAACUGCAGUGCUAUUGCCAUUAAGGGGCUUUCUUCUUUACUCAUCAUUUUCUAAAGAAUUUCUCAAUAGUACUGCAAUCAGUCACUCAUUUUUUGCCGAUUCUCCUCUCCAUUACAAAUGUGUCUGAGUUUGUGAGGGAGAGGCUGUGUUUUCUCAACCAAAUCUCCCACUCCUUGGUUUAUUAAUAAACAAAAAUUAACUUACAGAUUUGACUGAAAAUACAGGCUCUUUCCAUACCUGUGUAGUCCACUGGAUGCAGGAGGAGUUUCAGCCAGCCUGGCAAAGGCACCUUUUCCACGUGCCCCAGCUGGGCUCCUGCAUUGCUCCCCGAGUUUCUCUUGCUCCAUACAAUGGCUGACAUUGUCUGCAAGGAGCAACUCAGAUUACGGCCCCCUCCAGAUGCGCUGCCCCUGACCCUGCUCCUGCCCCAGGCUGCCCACACUCUGCCCUCCCCGUAAGCACGGAGACUUCAGCUGAGCCGGCUGCUGCCUGGGAGUGUUGAUUCAGGUCUUGAGGGUGGCCUCGGAUGCGUUUUAACAGGCAGCGCAGGCACUCCACGGGGAUAACAUGGAAUGAUUAUUUUAGGGCAGAUUUUCCCCUAAAAAAACCCAUAGUUCUACAUGCACGCAGUUUGAUCUUCACACAAAGGAUUUAUAUAAGAACUCACUUCCCUCUGUCGGUUAUGAAAAAAAAGCAUGCUGGCGGGAUUUAGGGAAGUGUGCAAGCUAGAGGAUAGCUGCAGACAAAAGAGAGUUUUUCUUCUAAGAACAUCCUCACAGCUGGAGCCCUGGCAGCGCUGCUGUCAGAAUGCUGAGGUGUUAUCUGGCCGGGGCAAGGCACAGUGUCUGCUUGGCACCCUCCUGACACACAAAUUUGGCCAGCACUUGUCAGAGCACUGUUCCCUACCUGCACCCACGUGCACAAAUCUUUUCCAUUCAGUGCCUACUUUUUGGGAAUCUUAUACCCUGCCAGUAUGCUGUAUGCCAAUGAGGAGAGUAAGGGUGGAGGAAGAAACUCUUUGUGACUCCUUUACCUGCUAAAGAGAGACCAAGCUCACCUGGGCUCUCAGGAAUAACAGUGCUGCAGUGGCUCUAGACCAGCCCAAAGCAAUCGUCCCAACUCCUAGGUACCCUGAAAAAAAUAUGCCUUACAUCUCAGAGUGGAGAGACUUAAAGAUGGGUCUGCUGGAACAACGACUAAGUGGGAUGGGAAAGAUGUUCCCUUUUAGAGCCCGCACCCCCAGAAGUAUUUCUCAGGUCAGAUCAUCACCUAUGAGUAUAGCACCAUCUGACCUUGAUCUGCGCUGUGGUGAGAAGGAAAUGUGUGCAACAGUUUGAAUCUGCUCAACUUUUGUCUGUCUUGGACUGGCCCCAUUCAGCCCAUCUCUGCCUCUCUAAGGGGAGCAAGUGCCAGAUGCAAAGACAAAGCCUAACAAUACAACCUGUGUGCUUGCCUUUAAUGUAUCAUGAUGCUUAAAACUGAAUAUAAGCAGGGAUGAUGCUUUAGAUCUUACUCAAAUCUCAGUGUAACUUUGAGGUUGUCAGAUGAUACUGAAGUGAGAGAUCUAGAGUAGGAAUAUUAGUGAACACAAAAGUCAUGAUAUUUACUCAGUUUAUGCAUUUUCUCUUUUUUUUUUUCCAAGAAACUUGCAUAACUGGCGUGUAAUUGUUUUGCUAAGUGAGCCUUGAAAGCAAAAGUCUUGAUAGCUGUCAAAUAUCUUCUUUGUAGUAUAGUGUGUUGUCCUCAGAAGCUAAUCAGUAGAACUUGCUCAGAAGAACUUAAUCAGCAGAACUGAGCACAUUGUCAGUGCUUAACAAAUAAUAAAUUAUAAUAAUAACAGCAGUUCCUUUUGACACAACCUAUCAAACUUUUGCUUUAUUUCAGGGAGUGCCUUCCUUGCCUCUAGUUAAGAUUUAUACCGACUGCUGCUCUGCUUACUACGGUUGAGAGGAUGGGUGAUACGGCCUAACAGGGUGGAAGUAUUGAUCGAAAUGAAACUUUGACAAAUGGCUGGAACAGAAUCUUGAGAAAGUUCCUUGACUGUUCCUUUCCAUUCAAAAAGAGAAUUUCAGAGUAAAUUUGAUCAGUUCAAUUGUUCAAAGGUAAAAUGCUAUGCUUACAAGUUAAUAGAAUUACUUUUGAAUUUCCCAAGUCCCUUUUAUUUUUUUUAAGAGAUACUCAUUAGGAUUUCCUUACAGAAAGGUGAACGUAUCCAACAGCACAUCUAUUAUUAUUAAUUGUUAUUAUUUUAAGGGGAUUGGAUAGCUCAGAGGGUUGUUAACAGAUCUGAGGCUAUCACUUCUUUGUCACCACUGUAAUUUGGCUCGAGCUGGGAGUUACUGACAGUCAUUUCAUUUUCUGUUUGUUUGGUGGUUUAUGUGCAAUUAGUUGUUGGGUUUUAUUCACUUCCAACAAGAUGCAUAUGCACAUUAUAAAGAAAACCACCGGGUCAGCUCUAAGCUGCUGCUAAUUGUCUCAGGCUUAAAUGGAGCCGUGUCAAUUUAUCCCAGUUGAGGAUCUGACCAAGGAUCACAACUGGCAUUAAUUAGCAGAUGUGUUAUCAGACUCCGCGGAGAUGCCCCGGGUUGAGUGACGGCAGGCCAACACCAUGCACGGUGCAGGCAGGUGGGAGCUCCAGGUCCUCCCUACAGGCACAUUGGUGGCUUCUACUGCUGCAUGGCAUGGCCAUGCCACCAGCCUUCGUGAGAAGGACCUCCACAGCAGGGUGCAGCCAGUCAUAUUAGAGCCCAAGCAAUGCAAGGCAGCUACUAAAAAUCAGGGAGGGGGGAAAAGGAAAGAGGUGUAGUGCUGGAAUGAGUCACCCUGGAGCUCGGUGUGCAUGAGACUGCUCUGCUAGUUCUAAAUGAAACCACUGACUGAUAUUCUGGGGGUACGCAUGCACCAUCUGAGCUAAUACUAGUGCUGGCUGCACAUGCGUGACAGAAGGGUGAAGGAGAUGCUGCUGAAAAUACAGGUACCCAAAGGCCACAGAACAAACCUGGUCCUCACAUUGCUCAGGGAGUAAUAUUCUCAGCCUUCACCAGCUACUGAUACUCUUUACAAAGUGGCUCAAGUUCACAGACCUCAUGCUUUUUAAUGCACUUGAAAACAUCUUCUUCUCGCUCUAAGACUUUUUUACUGUAACCCAGGAAAUGGAAAGAACAGGAGAGUGGAAGUUCAGUAGUAGCAGGAACACAGAAGUCAUAAGGCUGACCUAGACAAUGGGAAGAUGCAGAAUAUUUUAGUAACGUGCUGUAGUAACUGUCACCUGCAAAAUGUCCAUCAGCACUUCUGCAAAUUCUUUCCACCAUUCUCAACAAGAUAACAAAAGAUAACUUUUCGGACCACAAAGCUGAAACACUUCCUGUGACUCAAAUGGCUCCAGCACAGCUAUUUCCUAGAAGACAUCCUCCCUGAUUUCUUGUGGUGCCUGUUAGAUUGCUGAAGUUGCAGAGAUAAACCAGAUACCAGAAUAGAGGAACGUUUCUCAGAAGGACCAGUGAGACAUCUCCUGACCUCUGUCUCCAUCUGAGGAUAUAUCUGGAGUAGAGCAGAGAAGCAGAGGCACCACAGACUACAGAUACCCAUGGGGAAUGUUGUUCUGCCUCAAGGUUCAGCUCUACAAUAUGGCCAUGGACCGUAUAUACCCAUAGGUUCCUGUGAGUGGGUGAAGUGGGUGAGGGUUUAGACAGAGGCUGGGAUGAGUCUGAAGGGAUGCUGAUCUGGGUGGUGGGGGACUGGGACUCCAUGGCAUACUGUCACAAAUCAAAAGAUAAGUCUAGUUACAGCCAUUCAGCCUUUGAUUUUCUCGCCUUCCUCCUAAACUAUUUUCCCAAGAACUUAUUUGUCUCAGUCUGCGUUUUCCUUAUCUGCAGACAGGGCUAUGAGGCAGACCAUACUACAAUGAAUAUGGGUACUCACUCCAUGCUGGGCUGUGGGAGAAAGUUUUGCACAGCUCUAGGAAAACAGGUGAACAGCUACAGGUUUGAAAAGCCUCCUAGCCUUCCCUGGACCUCAAAAGGCCCAGUGUAGGACUCCUCACCCAUCCUGAUUAUCUAUAAGUAGAUCAGACAGCAUCUCAUUUCCUAGACACAAACAUUCAGCGGUGUUCUGCAGUUGCUUCAAGAGUAAAGAAAAUUCCUCCUGGCUCCUACUGAGCAGUCACUGGCAUUGGUCAACCAUAGCACACCUUGUCUUUGCCAGAAGCCAGUAUCAGACAAUAUGAAAGGGAACUGCCCCCUCCUUCCUGUGUAUGUAAAUGUAUAACAGUUUACCACGGAAGAUGAUGCCUUUCUGACUCCAUCUACUGACUUGCUUUUACCAAGAACUACUGACACUAUUACAUAAUACUUGUUAGUAAAACUCUCACAGAUUUUUUCAAGGCCAGGAACAACCAUUAUUAUCAUCCAGUCUGAUCUUCUGCAUAAUAUAUGCUACUGAAUUUAACCCAAUCUGAACUUGGUGUGUAGAUUUGCUUUUAUGUCUCAAAAUGCCUCCUCAUUUACAAAUAUGAUACUGUUUCACCGAGUACUAUCUGUGCAGCAGCAAGUUCCAUUAAUUAACUGUACAUUGUUUGGAAAAGCAAUACCUCUUAUCCGUUUGAAAUUUGAUACCUCUUCGUUUCACCUUGCAGGAUAGGAAAGGGUUUUUAUUCCUUUGCUACUAAUUAGGUUGGAGGAUCAUGAGGACAAAAUGUUAUUUAUAUUAUAGUCGUGCUUAAGGAGAGCUCUGAUGAAGCCUGGGGAUCCCACUGCACAAAGUGAGGGAGACCGUGCAAUUCCUUCAGGACUGAGACUAUUUGAAUGGACGAAUGGCAUAUUUUCAAAGGAGCUGAAUGAUUUCACCAAAACGAAUGUCAGACAAGUCAAUGGAUUCAUACUUCUCAAUCACCUAUACAUUUCUAAAAAAUCAAUCCAAAGUUUGAAGGAAAGAAAGGCAUGGAAAAACAAAGUCCCUGAAGCCAAGAUCAAGAAAUAAGUUUGGUAUGCAGUCAGUGAAAAGAAAAACGUGUUGCUAAUAUGCAGCUCUGUGUCCACUGUCCAUAGGUCACUUUGGCUUCCAGAGGCUCAUGGUCUUAAAGUCCUCCCUUUAAGAGAGCAGGGUGCACUGGGCAAAGUACAAUGUCUGCUGCAUGCACAGUCCCCAGUUCUUUUGCCCUGGGGCCAAGGACAGCUACAUUAUCUCAGGCAACAGCGGUUAUCCAAGUUUAUGGAAAGGGUUCACGUAAGAUUUGCAGUCCCAUGAGGGUCAGUCUGCCUUGAGAGAUAGGCUGGGGUUUGUGUUCUUUCUCUCUUCUCAAGGAAAUUCCCCAUCCUUUUGACUUCUAUCAUUUUUUAUUGCCAUUCUCUGGACUUCUUCUAUUUCUACUUUCUUUUUUACAGGGAUGAGGUGACCAAAUUUGAAGACAGUAUUCAAAGUGAGGAUGUGCCACUGAUUUAUAUAAUGGCAUUAUAAUAUUUUCCAUAUUAUUCUCUAAAACUCUUUUCUUCAUACAAACCCCUUAAGAUUCUUUUUAAUUCUUUGAACUAUAGUGCCUUUUAACAUCUGUAGUUUACUCUGAUCAGAUUUUGACAAAGGAAUAAAAGGCUCCAUUUUUCACAUAGAAUUUUAUUUAUUGUUUGAACUUUAGAGGAGAAAUUGGUUAACUUACAAUUUAAAAUUCUUGGCAAUGUAGACCAUUGGACAAGGAUUUCAUUAUCAGCCCUUCUGUACUUUCUGUAGAAAUGCUUAAAGUUGGUGGACAGAGUCUUGGCUAAAAAGACUUUACUUUCGUACUAUAAACAUAGCCAAAGACUUAGUUUGGAGCUGCUAGCAUCCCCAAAGAUGUCAGAGAUAUCAUUGUUCUGUACCCCCUUCCUGAUGCAGUGUGCUGGGGCCAUGCAUUGACAUGUCAUCCAGCCAGAGUUGUGCGUGUGUGCAAGCGGUACCCAAAUGCCGUGAUCUUCUCUUUACCUUACCACGUACUUCCACAGUAGGUCAGGAAAAGACCCCUCUGAAAAUGAGGUGCUUGAUGACUGCAGAGGGUGAGAAUCUUGCUCUCAUGUCACAGCUGGGCGUGAUGCCUUCAUCAGGGUAUUAGAAAAGGCUCGAGGAAAACAGUUACAUCCAUUCUAUUGCUUAAGACACUUCCUGCAGCUACUGACUCGCCUUAGAGUUACCAAUCCAAAUGCUGACCCUGCCUGACCCUACUUAUCUUUUAAAAGCUGACAAGAUCACAGCCUGAAGCAGUAUAGCCACAGGCUCAAUACUGGCUACCAAAAUGUCUGUUUAGUAUUUUCAAAAACGCUGCUCUUAAGAUUUACAAUACAAGCUGCUGGAUGUAUGGACAACACUGAAACACAACCCUGACCCCUGAACAUUCAGCCCUACUUACACAGAAAUUUGUGCCUCUCGAGGGGCCAGCACUGAGUUGCUGCAAAACAGUUAUUCCCUACCUGCAAGUGAGCUGGAAUUAAAGCAUCAUAGGGUUGUAUGCAUUCAGAUACUGGGUAAAAAUAUUUGAAAACUACAGCCUUGAUUUCAGAAUUCAUUGACAACUUCUUUCAUUAGCUGCAUUACUGCUUUAACAGUAGAAAGAGUUCCGCCCUUUUUGUGUAAUAUCUUUUUUGGUUUAGUAUAGAAAAUCAUCCUAAUUCUUCUAUGACCAAAGCAGUUUUUCAUCAGAAGUUGUUUUUAGAUUAACUGUAAGUUUCUUCCCUAGCAGUAAAAGAAGCUCAUAUUUUUCUGAAUAUUUCUAAGGUUAAAUGGAUAAACACAGCUUUAAAUACUCAUGAAACACUAAGGGACCGAUCUAGUUGAGUUGUUUGUGCAUUCAUACAUGAUAUAAAUUCAUGGUUCUUGCAGGUUUUUUUUUUUUUUUUUUUUUUAACAGCAAAGAUAUGGAAAAGACAAUUGAGGUCUUAUUGCUCCUGUUGGAAACUUCUGCCGACUACAGCAAGAGUUGGACUGGGCCCAGAGAAACCAGAUACAUACAAGUUGCAAUGAGUUGGCCACACAAGCAAGGAAAAUCACAGAUAACGGAUGCACACAAAUUAGUAAUGUACCUUUUAGGUCAUCCAGUACAGCUUGCUGACACAUUGAGAUUGUCUCCUAUGGCAUAUUUUUGGUUGCUUUGGAUGACUGGAUUAAAUGUCCUAAGUAAUGCCAUUUACUUAAGGAGAGAUUGUGCUGCCCAGUAUAUCCUGUUAGAAGUCUUUUUUUCCUUUCUUAACAUCAUCAUAUUUCUCCCAGUUUUGUUCCUUUGCAAACCUCCUUAUUUCCCUUCUGCGAUGCUAUUUUUUCUCCAGUGUCUUUAGACUAAUGUGAUGUUCCAUUUAGUUAACAUUAAGUCAGUUCAUACCUAUUUAGAUCAUUUAAUCUUUUCUGAUAAAUCAGUCCUUUCAGUCUCCUGGUUAUUUUCUCAUCUCCUCUUGUCCCACUCCUGUCUGUCAGUAGCUUUUUUAGCUAUGAUAUUUUAAAGAUGUGGUGCAUUUAUCUGAACUAACGGCAGGUUGGGCACAGACUUGAGCACCCUCAAUACCUUCUCACUGAAAACCACUCAAGGGAAGGCCACUGGCACUCUGUGCAAACAAGCAGGCAGAGCAUUCUGUUCAAACCAUUUCCUUGGUAUCACCUGUUUUACUGAUCAUCAACAAAAAACAUUUAAACAUUUAGCCUAGUGAUUCAAAAACCAAACAUGGGUCACUAUAGAUUAAUUAUAUUUUUUCAUAAUGCUAGGAAAUAUAAUGGCAGAGAGGAAAAUACAUUUGUUGUUGAUAUUUUCAAACUCUUGGUCGUGGAUAUCACAAUCUAAAAUUAUGGAAGAUGUUGUCUUGUCUAGUAACUAUAUUUGGGUGCCACUGGAGUACACUGUAGAAAGUAAUUAUAUAUGUAGUCACAAGCGUAGCUGUUCACGUCAGGCAAUAAAUUCUGAUCAACAAACAACACUCCUUUAGCGCUAAAUGAAAUCUUGGCUGUAAUUGACUGUCUUUACCUUUGUGUUCUGUUGGAUUGGAGGAAUAUCAUUUUAAUCUGCUCUCUUUAAAUUUUCAUUAAGGAACGUUUCAGCUACCUGCAGCCUCGUCUGAUGAUGUUUAAUGAUAUAAACUAGCACGUUCUUCCGUGCACCGGCAGGGGCUUCUUUAAAUUGGUCAACCGUACAGAACAUUGUUUUCGUGUUUAAUGUACUUGGAAUCAACCUUUUAAAAUAAUGAUGUCUCUACAGACAGUUUAUAUACGUAGCACACACACAUAUGUGCAUGUGUAUGUAUGCAUAUAUACGCGUAAGUGCACACAUACAUAGAGAAACACUGAUCCUAUUCACCUUCUUGAAAACAUUUCAGCUAGUAUUAGCAUAAAUGUGCUGUUAAGUUGGCAGUGUUAUACAUUUUUGUUGGAGUUUACUUCUGUAACCUAAAAUCAAGCAGAUAAGCUGUGAAACUCAUGCAGCUGAUGACAUAACGCUGGGAUCUCAUGAUGCUGAAUCUCAUAUUUCUAGGCAUAAAGGAUGGAUGUUCCUUUCUGGAAUUAUUAUGCUGCCUAUUGCAAUAUAUGUUUUCUUGUUUUCAUGUGGGCACUGAGAUGUUCAAACCAUUAAAUGUAUAUGGUAUAAUGAGUCCUGUGUUCCUUAUUUAUUCUAAAGAAGGCAUUAACUUUCUAUGGUUGUUUUAUUGUAUGAUAAUAAAGCCAACUACUUUAAGAA
ensembl:lncRNA